AUCAAAUGUAAAUUGUAAAACUUUCUAAUAACAACAAAAAAGCAAUUGAAAAUCAAAUUAAAAAAAAAUAUUAAACCAAGAUCACAUAAAUAGUAGACCUAACUCCUAAUUCAAAACUUACUGUGUUUGGCAUCGUCGAGUAUCGAGUCUGAGUGGAAAAAAUUAAAUCCUCUCAAAACUGUUUGCUGUUUGCAAUUUGUUUCCAAGCUCUUAAAACGAUCCAUCAUGAGUUUCAUGAGGAAUUCUGUUGAUGAGACAUGGACAGGGCCAUCAGAUUCACCGUGUGCAAUAUGUCUGGGGAAGGUUGAAAACAAGUGCUUUGCCAAUAAUUGUCUUCAUGAGUUCUGCUACAGUUGUUUGUUUAGAUGGUCCAAGGAAAAAACUAAAUGCCCGCUAUGUAUGCAACCAUUCAGCUCAAUUAUUCACAACAUCAGAUCUAGCAAUGACUAUGAUGAACAAAUAAUCCAGUCAACCGAUGAUAUUGUGCCAGCUGAUCCUUUUUUACAGCAGCUUUCACAGUUUCAUUUGUCUACCCAGGCAAACCUUCAAACCCAAGAAUCUACACUCCAAACACAUUCAGACUCGUGUCAUUCUGAUCGCAUGAGUGAGCUUCAUCAAGCUCUAUUGGAAACGAUCAUUGAACAGCAAUAUGUCAAUAGCAUGUCUGAUUUUGUUACUAAUCUGUUGGAGGAAUAUGAAAUGAUGGGAUUUUGAGAGUGUAGAAGUAAUGAGAAGAGGAAGGUUUCUUUUACGCUUUCCGACGACGAAUAUUAUGUCUGAAGAUCUUCCCAUAUCUGGCCCAAGACUUGCGAGGCACAAGCGACCUUUACUGCUUUCUUUUUUCUGUUAUUAGGGAUUUUUCUCGAAUCUUUAUAGGUGCACUGUGGAAAUUUGUUAUGGGAAACUUCCUUUGUCAUGUAUUCCAGUCGUUAUCAUCUUCGUUGAAUUUUCACUAGCUCCUCCUUCUGCAGGUUACCUUAAUUUACAAUAUUCGUCCACGGUUUACCAAAUGCGUUCUACAGAAA